ACUCAAAGGAAUUGACGGGGACCCGCACAAGCGGUGGAGCAUGGGGUUUAAUUCGACGCUACGCGAAGAACCUUACCGAGAUUUGACAUCCUGAGAAUCCGGCGGAAACGUUGGAGUGCCUUCGGGAACUCAGUGACAGGUGCUGCAUGGCCGUCGUCAGCUCGUGUUGUGAAAUGUUGGGUUAAGUCCCGCAACGAGCGCAACCCUUAUCGUCUGUUGUAUUUUUCAGACGAGACUGCCCGGGCCAACCGGGAGGAAGGUGGGGUCGAAGUCAGGUCAGCAUGGCCCUUACAUCUCGGGCCACACCCGUGCUACAAUGGCCGAUACAACGCGUCGCGAACCCGCGAGGGGGAGCUAAUCGCAUCAAAAUCGGUCUCAGUUCGGAUAACAGGCUGAAACUCGCCUGUUUGAAGCUGGAAUCGCUAGUAAACGUGGGUCAGCAUACCACGUUGAAUACGUUCCCGGGUCUUGUACACACCGCCCGU
rnacentral:rRNA from 1 species